GACGAACGCUGGCGGCGUGCCUAAUACAUGCAAGUCGAACGCUGAAGGAGGAGCUUGCUUCUCUGGAUGAGUUGCGAACGGGUGAGUAACGCGUAGGUAACCUGCCUGGUAGCGGGGGAUAACUAUUGGAAACGAUAGCUAAUACCGCAUAAGAGUAGAUGUCGCAUGACAUUUGCUUAAAAGGUGCAAUUGCAUCACUACCAGAUGGACCUGCGUUGUAUUAGCUAGUUGGUGAGGUAACGGCUCACCAAGGCAACGAUACAUAGCCGACCUGAGAGGGUGAUCGGCCACAAUGGGACUGAGACACGGCCCAGACUCCUACGGGAGGCAGCAGUAGGGAAUCUUCGGCAAUGGACGGAAGUCUGACCGAGCAACGCCGCGUGAGUGAAGAAGGGUUUCGGAUCGUAAAGCUCUGUUGUAAGAGAAGAACGAGUGUGAGAGUGGAAAGUUCACACUGUGACGGUAUCUGAGCAGAAAGGGACGGCUAACUACGUG
rnacentral:rRNA from 1 species